AUUGAACGCUGGCGGCAUGCUUUACACAUGCAAGUCGAACGGUAACAGGCCGCAAGGUGCUGACGAGUGGCGAACGGGUGAGUAAUGCAUCGGAACGUGCCCAGUCGUGGGGGAUAACGCAGCGAAAGCUGUGCUAAUACCGCAUACGAUCUAUGGAUGAAAGCGGGGGACCGUAAGGCCUCGCGCGAUUGGAGCGGCCGAUGUCAGAUUAGGUAGUUGGUGGGGUAAAGGCCCACCAAGCCAACGAUCUGUAGCUGGUCUGAGAGGACGACCAGCCACACGGGGACUAAGACACGGCCCAGACUCCUACGGGAGGCAGCAGUGGGUAAUUUUGGACAAUGGGCGCAAGCCUGAUCCAGCAAUGCCGCGUGCAGGAAGAAGGCCUUCGGGUUGUAAACUGCUUUUGUACGGAACGAAACGGUCUGGGUUAAUACCCUGGGCUAAUGACGGUACCUGCAGAAAAAGCACCGGCUAACUACGUGCCAGCAGCCGCGGUAACAC
rnacentral:rRNA from 1 species